rnacentral:rRNA from 1 species
CGCGGCCUAUCAGCUUGUUGGUGAGGUAAUGGCUCACCAAGGCGACGAUGGAUAGCCGACCUGAGAGGGUGAUCGGCCACACUGGGACUGAGAUACGGCCCAGACUCCUACGGGAGGCAGCAGUGGGGAAUUUUGCGCAAUGGGGGAAACCCUGACGCAGCGACGCCGCGUGGAGGAUGAAGGCCCUUGGGUUGUAAACUCCUGUCAGGAAGGACGAACGGCAGGGUAGUUAAUAUCUGCCCUGUUUGACGGUACUUCCAGAGGAAGCUCCGGCUAACUCCGUGCCAGCAGCCGCGGUAAGACGGAGGGAGCAAGCGUUGCUCGGAAUCACUGGGCGUAAAGGGCGUGUAGGCGGGAUGGUCAGUCGGAUGUGAAAGCCCCGGGCUCAACUCGGGAAGUGCAUUCGAUACUGCCGUUCUUGAGUGUGGUAGAGGAGAGCGGAAUUCCUGGUGUAGCGGUGAAAUGCGUAGAUAUCAGGAAGAACACCUGUGGCGAAGGCGGCUCUCUGGACCAAUACUGACGCUGAGGCGCGAAAGCUAGGGGAGCGAACGGGAUUAGAUACCCCGGUAGUCCUAGCCGUAAACGAUGGGCACUAGGUGCGGGAGGUGUUGACCCCUUCUGUGCCGGAGCUAACGCAUUAAGUGCCCCGCCUGGGGAGUACGG